AGAAGCGGAUGAAGUAGCCAGAUAGUGAGCAUAUGCUGGACGGAAAAUGUAUGCAGCGGCUGGACAUAAAAAAAAUCAUAUCGAACGACACGUUUCUAACCGUAGAUUAACAUCAAACCAGUCUCUAACAGCACGUGAAUUUCAUCACACGAGAUUCUUUCCGUCCAAGAACAGUCCUGUGAUCUAGUGAUGGGCGUUUCGGAGCGCACCAACGGCUCCGGACUAACGGGUCCGGAGCCAGCUACGCUCCGACGGCUCCGUAGCCGGCUCCGCUCCAAGGGCUCCGCAACCGGUUCCGGACUAACAGCUCUGCACUCACGGCUCCAUUCCAACAACUGCGGAGCCGGCUGCGAGUCCACUGUUCCAGAGCCGUCGACGAAUCAACGGCUCCGAACUAACGGUUCAAUAGAGACAGCAUUGCAUGCUAGCCUAAUCAAAAAACGAAUAUAUCUUCUCGUGGAAGCUAACACACGAUGUGAUUGCAGUAUUGACAUGUAUGACGUCAUAAUAUUUUUCAUGUUUGAUAGAGGCAGAUAAACCCUAUCCACAUUAUUUCACUUUUCAUACAAAUUAUAUGAUAAAGAGAAGGAGAAAGAGAUGAAUAUGAGGGUCACCGAGAAGAGCACUUGUGAAGGAAGAGUAGUGGCUGAGCCGGGGAGUAAAUGUUGAACGGUCCUGUUGUAACAAUUAUAAUUAGGAAAUAAACUAUAAGUAUAUUUGUGCUUA